GGAUUGUGGCUCAGUGGCAGAGUGCUUACCUCACACCUAUGAGGCACUGGGUUCGAUCCUUAGCACCA
rnacentral:tRNA from 1 species